AAACCGAUACGAAAUUAUUAGUCAUUCCGCAUCCAUCCCUCUACGUAUUAACUCGUCAUCCUUACAAGUUGUGAAUCACGACUCAUAAGUAAAUUAACUUCGGAAAAACGAAAAUCAAGAAAUUCGUUUUCGCGAAGCGUUUUAAAAGUCUCAACAUGGGUCUAAACUUUGCAGGGGUGUACCUAGUGUGCUAAUAAAUUCCCGUAUUGAGUUAUUCUAACUUUGUCAGGUACAUAGUCAUUGCUCGUUUACCGGAAGGACCCAUGAAGUUACACCCGUACUUCGACUUCAACAUGGGGGACACUACAAUUGUUCAAGUUUCUGGGGGAGGCUACAAGCUCUCGCUUAAUCCGACCUGCAUGAAUCGCAGUUUGGAAUUUACUCUUGGUGAAGAAUUUACACAAAGUAUUCCGGAACUCGGAACUUUUAAGACAACUUUUACCGUCAAUGGUGAAAAUGAGCUGGUCCAGACGGCAAUUUCUUCUCAAACCAAUGAAAUCUUUGUGAUUCGAAGGAUUUAUAAUGGAAAGCCGAUUUCGUUCUAUGCGCACAAGGAGCAGGUGGAAAUUGUGAGUGAUUUAUUGCAAAAAUGAGUGUAGUUUGUACUUUUAAAAAUAUUUGCCAUUUAUAAGAGUAAUAAAUUCAUACGUGUGUAUUUUCUUGCAAUUUUGGCAAAUGAGUAUUGACGGAAACGCGAUUCCAUGGUUCUUCGUGAUGGUGACACGAUGAAGGAUUUUUUAUCUUGAAUAAUUACUGCAUGUUGUUUAACAUGAUUAUUCAUGCUGUCAUUUCGUAUAUAUGUACUUGGCUGAUUAAUAAAUAAAUGAAGCACACCAUUAGUAUCAUAUUUA